CUUUCCGCCAUCCCCAAUCCGCUCUACCCCAAUUGGCGGCGGCGGCGCCAUAUUUGCUCCCAUUCCCCAUGUCCUCCUCUAGUUGAUCCUCUCCGCCUCCGCUCCGACCGCUGCGGCCGUCUCUCCUCCCACUUCCUCUCCGCUUCCCGUCCUAACCCCCCAAACCCUACCCCCUUUUCCCCUCAUGUGGCGCCGUCUCCCUGCCCGCCGCCUCGCCUCCGCCCUCCUCUCCUCCUUCCCGGUCACGAGGGCCGCUGCCCCGCGCGCUCCUCCUCUCGAGCGUCGUCUUCUCCCCGCGACCUCUAGUCUUCUCCCGCCCCCGCGCUUUCCCUCGUGGCAGCAGGACCCGCGUUGGAUCGCCUCGGCCGCCGCAGCUGAGGCGGUGUCCUCGGAGGAGGCCGAGGAGCUGCACCACGCGCUCGAGAUCUUCCGGGUGCAGCCGUACAAGAAUCAACCUCCGCCGGUGGAGGAGCAGCAGGCAUCCGGGAGAGACCACCGUAGUCGGCAUCGGCGGAACAGGCGGGGACAGCAAGCACAAGUGGCGGCGGCGGAGCACGGGAUGACGUACCACAAAUACGCCUCGCUGCGCCGCCGGCAGAUCCGCGUCGAAACGGAGGCGUGGGAGCAGGCCGCAAAGGAAUACCGCGAGCUCCUCGCGGACAUGUGCGAGCAGAAGCUCGCGCCCAACCUUCCCUAUAUCAAGUCGCUCUUCCUGGGCUGGUUUGAGCCGCUGCGGGACCAAAUCACCGCAGAACAGGAGCUCGUAGCGGACCGCGGGUCCAGAGCCUCACAUGGGCCGUACUUCAACAUGCUUCCUGCUGAUAUGAUGGCGGUCAUCACUAUGCACAAGCUCAUGGGACUGCUCAUGACUGGCAGUGGGGACGGGAGUGUUCGAGUCAUCCAGGCGGCAUGUCAGAUUGGCGAGGCUAUCGAGCAUGAGGUUCGAAUCCAAAGAUUUCUAGAGAAGACAAGAAGAAAAAGCAACAGAGAAAAGGAAAGUGAAGAAGAAAUUUGUGACUCAAACAUUGCCAAAGAACAACAGCGUCUAAGAAAGAAAGUCACUGAUCUGAUGAAAAAGCAAAAGUUACGGCAAGUUAGGAAGAUAGUGAAGAAUCAAGAUGAUUCCAGGCCAUGGGGUCAAGAUGCUCAUGCGAAAGUCGGUAGUCGUUUGAUUGAGCUGUUUAUUGAAACAGCCCAUAUACAGCCAGCUGCUAGCCAGUCAUCAGAUGGUCUUCCAGACAUUCGUCCUGCUUUCAGACAUGAAAUGAGAACAGUGCCGAAAGAACAACAGAAGCUUAGUCGCAGAUAUGGUGUCAUCAAGUGUGAUCCACUGGUUCGGCAAGGCCUGGAUAGAACAGCAAAACACAUGGUCAUACCUUACAUGCCUAUGUUGAUUCCCCCAAUCUGUUGGACAGGAUAUGAUAAAGGAGCACACCUGUUUUUACCAUCCUAUGUGAUGCGCACCCAUGGUGCUCGGCAGCAGAGGGAGGCUGUUAAAAGGGCUCCAAAGGAACAGAUGCAAUCAGUUUUUGAGGCCUUGAAUACUCUUGGGAGCACGAAGUGGAGGGUUAACAAAAGAGUUCUUAGUAUUAUUGACAGAAUAUGGUCAAGUGGUGGCCGGCUUGCUGACCUGGUUGAUCGUGCUGAUGUUCCCUUACCUGAGAAGCCUGACACAGAAGAUGAAACUUUGCUAAAGAAGUGGAGGUGGAACAUGAGGUCAGUCAAGAAGGAAAACAGUGAAAGGCAUUCUCAGAGAUGUGAUGUUGAGCUCAAACUUGCUGUUGCUCGAAAAAUGAAGGAUGAAGAGGGAUUUUACUACCCACACAACCUUGAUUUUAGAGGUCGUGCUUAUCCAAUGCAUCCUUACCUGAACCACUUGGGUUCAGAUCUUUGUCGAGGGGUUCUGGAGUUUGCUGAAGGUCGUCCACUUGGUCAGUCAGGCUUGCGUUGGCUGAAGAUACACCUAGCAAAUUUGUAUGCUGGUGGUGUUGAUAAGUUAUCAUAUGACGGCCGGAUUGCAUUUGCUGAGAAUCACUUGGAGGAAAUAUUUGAUUCUGCUGAUAGGCCAUUAGAAGGCAAACGAUGGUGGCUUGGGGCUGAAGAUCCGUUCCAGUGCCUGGCAGUAUGUAUGAAUCUUGCUGAAGCUUUAAGAAGCUCGUCUCCAGAAACAACGAUAUCACAUAUUCCUGUGCACCAGGAUGGUUCUUGUAAUGGCCUGCAGCACUAUGCAGCUCUUGGAAGGGAUAAGUUGGGAGCUAUUGCUGUCAACUUAGUUGCUGGAGAGAAGCCUGCAGAUGUUUACUCCGGAAUAGCUACCAGGGUGGUUGAAAUUAUGAGGAGGGAUUCACAAAAGGAUCCCUCUACAGAUCCUGAUGCAACUCGUGCUCGUUUAAUACUUGAUCAGGUGGAUAGAAAAUUGGUGAAGCAAACUGUGAUGACAUCUGUGUAUGGUGUCACUUAUGUUGGAGCACGUGAACAAAUAAAAAGGAGGCUGAAAGAGAGGGGGGUCAUUGCUGAUGAUGCAGAAUUAUUUGGUGUGUCAUGUUAUGCUGCUAAGGUUACUCUGACAGCACUUGGUGAGAUGUUUCAAGCUGCCCGUAGUAUCAUGAACUGGCUUGGUGACUGUGCCAAGGUAAUCGCUUGUGAAAAUGAACCUGUGAAAUGGACGACCCCUCUUGGGCUUCCCGUUGUUCAACCAUAUCGCAAACUAGGGAGGCAUCUUAUUAAGACGUCAUUACAGGUUCUGACCCUUCAGCGGGAGACUGAUAAGGGAGGGACGGAGGGCUCUCUCUCUCUCUAUCACCUGCUCCCUCCCUCCCCCUCUCGCCAAGCUAUAUUUGAAUCGUCAAUGAUAGUGCAUCAUAGUGGUUUCAUUAUUGAAUUAUGUCUAUUUCCCAUUAUUGUUAUUGAAUUACAUUAUCUCUUGUUUGUGUAAUAUUUUAAUCAAAUACUUAAUGAGUCACUCAAUCAGGUUAUGGUGAAGCGGCAGAGGACAGCUUUCCCUCCAAACUUUGUGCAUUCCCUUGAUGGUUCUCAUAUGAUGAUGACUGCUGUUGCUUGCAAAAGGCAAGGCCUCAAUUUUGCAGGAGUUCAUGAUUCUUAUUGGACCCAUGCUUGUGAUGUUGAUACAAUGAACAAAAUACUCCGGGAGAAGUUUGUGGAACUCUAUGAUACACCUAUUUUGGAAAAUCUGUUGGAGAGUUUCGAGAAAUCUUUCCCUACAUUAAAGUUCCCACCAUUGCCAGAGAGGGGAGACUUUGAUAUGAAGGAUGUCCUAGAGUCUCCUUAUUUUUUCAACUAGCACAUUUAUGAUAGCAUUGCAUGCCCCCACACUCUGCUGCCUAUUCACAGCCUGCACCCAUCCUAAGUUGAGUACAGUGUCACCAACUCAGAUGUUGAAGCUAAAUAUUUUACUGGCUGAAGUGUACCAUCUUCAAGACAUCAUGCAGCACCAUAUCCAAAAGUGUUGCAGAAGUACACAGAGCCUUGAAGUAGUCUAUAACAGAUAUGCUGAGGAGGUUUGCAGUUAUGCUAACAGCAAAGCCAAAUAAAAGUGGAAACCGUUGCCAAGAAGCUCAGCGAGGGGGUUUGGCUCUGUUCGGCACUAGCGUAUUUAUUGAUAACCAGCGCACCCCCCCCCCCCCCCCCCCCAAAAAAAAACACCCCUCUCACUGAUCCCUGAAAAUGUAACUAUACAGUUUUGGCUUUCACCAAUCUGUUUAUUUUUCUUGAUCUUGAACUAUAGAGGGAUAUUCUACUGACGAAAGAUUAUUUCAUAGCUAACUUUGUAGUUGUAAGAUGAUAAUUUAAUAAUAAAAGAAUACACAGUGGUUUCCUCUCCA